rnacentral:rRNA from 1 species
AGUUUACUAGAGCUAUCAUACAGGUGCUGCACGGCUGUCGUCAGCUCGUGUCGUGAGAUGUUGGGUUAAGUCCCGCAACGAGCGCAACCCUCGUGUUUAGUCACUAACAGUUCGGCUGAGGACUCUAGACAGACUGCCUGGGUAACCAGGAGGAAGGUGAGGACGACGUCAAGUCAUCAUGGCCCUUACGGCCAGGGCUACACACGUGCUACAAUGGGGUAUACAAAGAGCAGCGAUACCGCGAGGUGGAGCAAAUCUCAUAAAAUAUCUCCCAGUUCGGAUAGCAGUCUGCAACUCGACUGCUUGAAGUUGGAAUCGCUAGUAAUCGUAGAUCAGCAAUGCUACGGUGAAUACGUUCCCGGGUCUUGUACUCACCGCCCGUCACACCAUGGGAAUUGAAUUCAUUCGAAGCGGGGAUGCUAAAAUAGCUACCUUCCACAGUGGAUUUAGUAACUAGGGUGAAGUCGUAACAAGGUA